AGCAGUAUUGAACUGAAGAGUUUGAUCAUGGCUCAGAUUGAACGCUGGCGGCAGGCCUAACACAUGCAAGUCGAGCGGAUGAAGGGAGCUUGCUCCUGGAUUCAGCGGCGGACGGGUGAGUAAUGCCUAGGAAUCUGCCUGGUAGUGGGGGAUAACGUCCGGAAACGGGCGCUAAUACCGCAUACGUC
rnacentral:rRNA from 1 species